rnacentral:lncRNA from 1 species
GCAGGUGUAUCGGGAGGACUUGGUAUUCAGGUGGAGCACUCUUCAAAUGUGUCUCCAUAGGUGGAGAGAGCUCAGAUGGGUGAUAGAAGUCAAGAGAUCCAGCAGGAGCAAGUUGGACCUAGGAUGGACAUUGGGGUUACACUGCACAAGCCCAAAAGAAUGUCAGGCAAUCGAAAUGAUAUGGUUUUGAGGAGACAUUAUCAUAUGUCCUGA